rnacentral:siRNA from 1 species
UACACAGAUGGGAUCUGGUCAC